CCGGUCCCGCCCGCGCCCGGGCUUUCUGGCAGAAGAGGGCGGGUGAGGGCGUGGGGGGCGGACUCAGGGUCCGUCUGCUCCGGGAACGGACGUCGUCGCAGCCGAGUGAAUUUCGUGUACAUAAGCGUGGAAAACGCUCUUGCAGAUCUCGCGGCAGCCACGCGCAGCGGGGACGUUUUGCCGGGGGUUGAGCUCCCCGCCCCUCUGCCCCGCAGGGGCCGGACACAGGCGCAGACUCCCUCCUGAGCGUGGGUUCCUCCGCGUGAAACGGGCACGAAGCCCACCCCGGCGCUGUCGCCAAAACUGAGAUCUGAGCGCCUUCAGGGGGCCGGGGCCUGGCGGAGACCGGGCCCGCAGCGGGAGCGCGAGCGACGGCCGCCCUCCCAGGCACCGGGAGGCUGUGGCGCCCACCGAGCUCCGCGGAGCCGUGAAGGAGAGUCCAGGUUCCACAGUGUCCCUUCUUAUCCCAGGCGGGUGGGCUCCCCGGGCCUCCCCGCCUCUCCAGCCCGCCGCCCUCCCGCAGGCUGUGCCGCGCCAAGCCCCCUACACACACCCUCUCUCUUUUCGGUCUCCGCUGCUGAAAUUUUCUCUAGAAAUUUCUUUCCCGCUGCCCAGCAAACUCUUGCUCUUCCUUGAAGGCUUCUUCCUCCACCACCUCCUCCAGGAAGCCCUCCCUCCUCAGCCCAGCUGGAGGAGAUCGCUCCAUCUUUCCUGCCGCUCCCACUCCUAGCUUUGGGUCUCACCAGGGGUGCCUGGUGGUGCAGCCGUGAGCAGAGCUCCUGUUCCCACAAGCCGGGCCGAGCUCCCAAGGCCAUGGCUACCACAGCUCUCUUGCCGCUGGCCAAGUUGGUCAGCCCUAGGGCGAGGGUUCCAGUGCCUUGAUCCAACCCCCAGCUGGUUCGGUGGCAGAGGAGGACAAGGGUCACAGCACACACACAAUCCUGAGCCUGGGAUUCCUCUCUGAGAAAGGGGGUGGUGCUGAGGCCACAGAAGCAGCUGCCCAGAGCCUUUUUGAAGGGGUUGAGCUCUGGGCCUGGUCUGGGUCCUGGGUCUGGGGAGGACCUGGGGAGGUGCGGGUGACGGCACCGCAGGGAAAGCCGGAAAUGACCCAGCGGCAGCCAUAUCUCUAGGACCGCCCCCGGGUGAAGGACAGACAACUGCACACCACAGAGCUCGGGAAAACCAACAGCAUCUCAGUGUAGCGGGGAGAUGGGCAGAUGGGG
rnacentral:lncRNA from 1 species